CCGUUCGCCUUCGCCCCGGUCGGAUCGACCUUCGACCGUGGCCCUGCUCAUCGCGUUCAGCGCCAUGUCAUGGUGGUCGAUGAUCCGCCCCUCAACCAUGACAGCUAUGCCAUUGUUACAGUCCAUCCUCCAGUCCCUAAUCAUCAAAAGGAGCUCUGGUUAGCCGAGGUCUGUCGCACCAUUACUGGGGAUCUAGAGUAUGAUUUGGUGGAUGAUUUUAUUUACCCAUUAGGAAUUGGCUGUGUGGUUUUUGCGGAUAUGGAGAGUCGGGAUGCUGCAAUUAGGGAGGGACCUCACGCUCUGUCUGAGGAUUCUACUUUUUCUCUGGUACCUCAUGAUGAAGGUCUCAAUAUGCGCAUGCCUGCUUUUGAAUAUGAGGUUUGGGUUAUGUUACUAGCUUUCCCUAUGGAUUACCAGACUGAGCAUUAUAUUCACAAGGCUGUUUCUAACUUUGGAAAGCUCCUGGUGUGGCCACGUCCGGGAUUCAACAAAGCUUGUGUUCUGGUUAAAUGCCAUAUCAAAGAUGUGGCUGAAGUGCCACAUAGUUUGUUAGUUACCAGGGUUGGUUUGCUGCCAGGGCUUGCUCGAUCCUGGUCUGUACCAGUGUAUGUUCUG
rnacentral:rRNA from 1 species